UACGUAGGGGGCAAGCGUUGUCCGGAAUCAUUGGGCGUAAAGCGCGUGUAGGCGGCCAGGUAAGUCCGUUCUGAAAGCCCGGGGCUCAACCCCGGGAGGCGGAUGGAUACUGCUUGGCUCGAGUCCGGAAGAGGCGAGUGGAAUUCCCGGUGUAGCGGUGAAAUGCGCAGAUAUCGGGAGGAACACCAAUGGCGAAGGCAGCUCGCUGGAACGGUACUGACGCUGAGACGCGAAAGCGUGGGGAGCAAACAGG
rnacentral:rRNA from 1 species